AAUAGAUACCCUGGUAGUCCAUGCCGUAAACGAUGUCUACUAGCCGUUGGGGCCCUUGAGGCUUUAGUGGCGCAGCUAACGCGAUAAGUAGACCGCCUGGGGAGUACGGUCGCAAGACUAAAACUCAAAUGAAUUGACGGGGGCCCGCACAAGCGGUGGAGCAUGUGGUUUAAUUCGAUGCAACGCGAAGAACCUUACCUGGCCUUGACAUACAGAGAACUUUCCAGAGAUGGAUUGGUGCCUUCGGGAACUCUGAUACAGGUGCUGCAUGGCUGUCGUCAGCUCGUGUCGUGAGAUGUUGGGUUAAGUCCCGCAACGAGCGCAACCCUUUUCCUUAUUUGCCAGCACUUCGGGGUGGGAACUUUAAGGAUACUGCCAGUGACAAACUGGAGGAAGGCGGGGACGACGUCAAGUCAUCAUGGCCCGUUACGGCCAGGGCUACACACGUGCUACAAUGGUCGGUACAAAGGGUUGCUACUGCGCGAGCAGAUGCUAAUCUCAAAAACGCCGAUCGUAGUCCGGAUCGC
rnacentral:rRNA from 1 species